UGUACGAUGGCUUAGUGGUUAGCACGUUCACCUCAUAACUCCAGGGUCCGGGGUUCGAGUCCCAGCGGUGUGU